rnacentral:rRNA from 1 species
AAAUUGAAGAGUUUGAUCAUGGCUCAGAUUGAACGCUGGCGGCAGGCCUAACACAUGCAAGUCGAACGGUAACAGGAAGCAGCUUGCUGCUUUGCUGACGAGUGGCGGACGGGUGAGUAAUGUCUGGGAAACUGCCUGAUGGAGGGGGAUAACUACUGGAAACGGUGGCUAAUACCGCAUAAUGUCGCAAGACCAAAGAGGGGGACCUUCGGGCCUCUUGCCAUCAGAUGUGCCCAGAUGGGAUUAGCUUGUUGGUGAGGUAACGGCUCACCAAGGCG